AUUGAACGCUGGCGGCAGGCUUAACACAUGCAAGUCGAGCGGGGGAAGGUAGCUUGCUACUGGACCUAGCGGCGGACGGGUGAGUAAUGCUUAGGAAUCUGCCUAUUAGUGGGGACAACAUCUCGAAAGGGAUGCUAAUACCGCAUACGUCCUACGGGAGAAAGCAGGGGAUCUUCGGACCUUGCGCUAAUAGAUGAGCCUAAGUCGGAUUAGCUAGUUGGUGGGGUAAAGGCCUACCAAGGCGACGAUCUGUAGCGGGUCUGAGAGGAUGAUCCGCCACACUGGGACUGAGACACGGCCCAGACUCCUACGGGAGGCAGCAGUGGGGAAUAUUGGACAAUGGGGGGAACCCUGAUCCAGCCAUGCCGCGUGUGUGAAGAAGGCCUUAUGGUUGUAAAGCACUUUAAGCGAGGAGGAGGCUACUUUAGUUAAUACCUAGAGAUAGUGGACGUUACUCGCAGAAUAAGCACCGGCUAACUCUGCGCCAGCCGCCGCGGUAA
rnacentral:rRNA from 1 species